rfam:Cryobacterium arcticum strain PAMC 27867 chromosome 1, complete sequence.
GCCCCCGUAGCUCAGGGGAUAGAGCAGGAGCCUUCUAAUCUCUUUGUCGCAGGUUCGAAUCCUGCCGGGGGCA